CGAUGGUCACGUUGGGCCCGAUGGUGCAGUUCUCCCCUAUCUGGGCUGUGGGAUCCUGGACCAGAACACGGAGCAAUGCCAGUCCAGACACAAACCCUAGGACCUCAUGACCUGAAAGGUGUCAGCUAAAUGGAGGAGCCGCCACCAAGCCAAUCAGAGGGCAGCUAACUGGAUGAGCCGCCACCAAGCCAAAUCAGAGGGCAGCUAAAUGAUGGAGCCGCCACCAAGCCAAUCAGAGGGCAGCUAAAUGAAGGAGCCACCACCAAGCCAAUCAGAGGGCAGCUAAAUGGAGGAGCCAACACCAAGCCAAUCAGAGGGCAGCUAAAUCAAGGAGCCGCCACCAAGCCAACCAGAGGGCAGCUAAAUGAAGGAGCCACCACCAAGCUAAUCAGAGGGCUACUGCUAAUGUUUUUUUUUUCAGAUCUGCCUGCCUUGUUGAACGGAGAUAUAUGAUCCGGUGUCAGACUGGUUGACUCACCACCAGCACGUUACCCAGGAACCCAGGCCCAGUCUUCAGUCUGUCAGGUGUGUGUUGUCGUACAGACUGCAGGUACAUACACAUCCCCGUCAGGAAGUCCUUAGGCUGACCAAUGUCCAUCCAGAACCCCUGUAGCUCCAUUGCGUAGAGAUGGUUCUCCUCAGCCAUGAACGGGAAGAUCUCUUUCUCAAUAGAGGUGGGCCUGAGCUGGAAGAAUACAAUAUACAUGGAGUGUAAAAAAGACUAAACAAACAUGAACACCUGCUCUUUCCAUGACAUAGACUGGCCAGAUUAAAGUUAUGGUCCCCUACUGAUGUCCUGUGUUGAUGUCAGAAGGAUUUUUAAGCCAUUUACAUUUACAUUUAAGUCAUUUAGCAGACGCUCUUAUCCAGAGCCUUGAGACAUGGAUUGUGUAUGUGGUACCAUUCCGAGGGUGAAUGGGCAAAACAAAAAAAUUUUAAAGUGCCUUUGAAUGGGUUACGGUAGUAGGUGCCAGGCGCACCGGUUUGAGUGUUUCAAGAACUGCAACGCUGCUGGGAUUUUAACGCUAAACAGUCUCCCGUGUGUAUCAAGAAUGGUCCACCACCCAAAAGGACAUCCAACCAACUUGACACAACUGUGGGGAAGCAUUGGAGUCAACAUGGGCCAGCAUCCCUGUGGAAACGCUUUCGACACCUUGUAGAGUCCAUGCCCCCGACGAAUCGAGGCGUUCCUAAUGUCUUGUACACAAAGUGUACGUACCACAAUCCACUUUAGCACACCAUUUUAUCCAACGUGACUUACAGUAGUGAGUGGACACAUUUUCAGAACAUCGGCUUAAGGUUACAAAAUAGAUUCUAAAUCCACGAAGAAGAAAAAAAACGGUUUUCUUUACUCGCUGUGUCGAAACAUCAUAUUAUGUGAUAAAAUGAAGAGGUUUCACAUCUGCACUAACCUUGAUCCUCUUGAGCAUGGUUGGGCUAAAGACGUACAUCCCAGCGUUGAUCUUGUUGGAGACGAACACCUGGGGUUUCUCCACAAAUCGGUGGAUGCGUCCGCUCUCUACCUCGUACAUCACCACGCCAUACUUCGACGGCUCCUCUACCUUGGUCACCUAGGAACAGACACCAGCGCUCGUUUGAGACGGACUACAUAUCAGUCUACCAAUCACCUUGCAUCCCCAACAACAACUCAUAAGAGGUCUCGUCUUUCAGGGGAUCUCAAGCUGAUCCCCUGAAACAGUUUGACAGUGUUGAUUGGCCUGCUCUAACAGCAGAGGUCCCUCUAAACACUCCUGAUAGGUUUAUAAGCAACGUUGUAGUAUUUCCACCUUGCCGUCCGAUUGGCUGGGUGGUAUUUUUCACCAUGUGGCUUAAACCCAGCCAAUCCUCUCAGAUCGACAGGAGUAUCUAGAGUGUAGGAGCCACAGGGCCAACAGUAACAGUCUCCACUUACCACAAUGGUCCCCUCUCUGCCAUGGUGCUUGUGGAACUUUAACAUGUCCUCGAAGGGGAAGUCACAGAUUACGUCACUGUUGAGGACGAAGAAUGGCUCGUCGUUGUCCGUUAGCAGCUCUCUGGCCAGAGCAAGAGGCCCGGCUGGGGGGGGGGGGUAAACACACACUGAGUUAACAAUUCUAUUAACUUUGUUAAAUAUCCGUAAGGAUAAAAGGACCAAAACUGGAGGUGUACAGCUCAAUUCUAUUCAAUCAACUUGAUCUUUAUGCCAAUGAAAGGAUCUAUUGCUGCUGGGUUGAAAAUGGCCAUAUUUAUUUAUCCUUUUUUUU